GGCAAGGUACUUGCCAGGUACAAUAUUUAUUAUUUUAUUUAUUUCUGUUUUUGCUUCUUUGUAGAAGUAGAACGCACACAAAGAUUUUUCUUUCUGCAAGAUGCUUGUGUGUGAAUUCUAUCUUUUAUUCAUUUAUUUAUUUUUAUGAAUUAUCGCAAUUUUGGGAGUUGCUUGUGGCGAUAAUUUUGUGUAAUCCAAAAGCUAAUGAGUGACGGAUGCUUUCCUUUUUCUUUUUUUUUUUCUUAUUUUGUGUAUCUGUCUUGCAUAAUUUAUGCAAUUUUUUUAGAGCAUUAAACAUUAGUACCUUUCAAUUCUUAAGAAAAUGAAUUAGUUUUAAAAUUAAAAAAAGUGAGCUCUAUUAUUUUAUUUAAAGGCUUCAAAAUUUUGAAGACUCUAAUUAAUUAUUUAUUCUUACCGUUUGCAGAGGGAAGAAGAAGAAGAAGAAUGAAAAAAGAAGCGCAAUUUGCGGAUGGAGAGUGAUUUCCGUAGUCCAUUGCAGUACAGUUCUGAGUUCGAUGACACUGAUUCUCUUCCUUUUUGAAACGCCCUUGUCCUCUUUUAUCUACAUGCGAAUUCUCAGAUUCACGCAUUCUUCAUGCGCGUGUAUUUCACCUACCCUAUCAAACUCGAAUCCUUUUGCCAACCUGCACUGCACGGCUCAUCACCAGGUUUGAGAACGAAGCGAAGAAACGAUAUUCAAGUUUGUCCCUUGUGGGCUAAAGUGGAUUGCAGGGAAUCUAACGAGGGCAAGUUGGGCCGUCUUUUAUCCUUUUCUGUGGCAACUUGAUAUUCGCAUACAAUAAAAU
rnacentral:lncRNA from 1 species